CAGAAAGCACCCUGGUUCCCUGCCCUGCAGCUGCAUAGCCCAAUGUCCGCCCAUACCUCAUAUGUCCCAGUUCCAGAAGAAUUCGGAACAUGGCAAGUUGGAUUGUGAGGUACAUGAACGGCGUGUUACUUUUGACAAGUUUAGUUGCAAACAACUGCAAUAAAGAAGCGCUAAUAGAUUGACCCCCAGCCACAAAAUAUUGCAUGGCAUGAAACCACAUGGCAAAAUAGGCUUCUGCACCUUAUAGCGGUGCACACUUGUUAUCGACACUAAUAUUUCUGCAUGUGCAUCCUUCCACAACUGCAAACGUGAAUAUUUGGUGCUUUUGCUAUGUGUGCUCGCAGUAUGUCAGUUUGAGUGGGAGAUGUCACUUAUCUGUUUGUAUUCUUGCAAGUUGGGUGGCUUAAGGAGUAAAACGAAGUUUGCGCUGUUCACGGGGUUUACACUCCAUCACUAAUGUGACAGUGCAUAUCAUGUGUCUUCGGUAACGAGUGCGCAGCGGUUCUUCUUUCUUAAUUUCACUUCUUUGUUGCCAAGCUCCAUUUGUUCUUAUUUUUGUCUGUGUAUGUGUGUUUUCACAUCUUUGAACAUGCUAGAGGAUUCGCAGUGGAAAAGAAAGGCUUACCAAAUCUUGUUGCAGUUUGCAAACACACUGUGCAUACACAUUGUUUAAUACUACUGCCUAGUCGCGUGACCCAUCAUAAGACUUGGUGUUCCAUUGGCCCAUGGUGCAUUUCUGUGCAUCAUUCCUUUGUCUAAUGCUACACGGCAUUAACGAUGUUAACCUGUGACCUGGAAGUUAUCGGUCAAAUCGCGAACGCUGAAGAGGCAUAUACAAAGUUCAUAGAUAUAAUUUCUGGUAUAUACAAGUACCACUUUCCCGAAAAAAGAAUUACCUUAGGCAAAAAAAUACGUAAACCGUGGAUAACGCCUGAACUGCUUGCAAAAAUACAUCGCAAAAACGAAUUGUAUCAUAAAUUUAUUCAAAAUAAGGACCCAGAUACACUGAAACAUUGAAUUGUUUCAGUGUAUCUGGGUCCUUAUCGAAAUAAACUGAAUAAAGAAAUAAAACUAAGUAGAGUGCGACACAUUCAGUCUGAAUUUGAGUGCUCUGCACCAAAACCUGACUUCUUAUGGAAAAGGUUAAAUACUGUCCUUAAUCGUAAUAAAUCGCAUUCUCGUAUAGAAAAACUGAACAUAAAUGGCAAUAAGAUAUCUGGCAUCCCUCUCGCCACUAUGUUUAAUGAUCACUUUGUUAGCAACAAUCAAAACAGUUCAUCUAGGACAUUGCUUAAGUUGAAGCCUGUUGCUAGCUCCUUCUCAUUAUUUCUUGAGCCUGUCUCUGAACAUGAAGUUUUCUCUGCUUUCACGUCACUGCGAAAUAGUUCCUCGUGUGAUUUUGAAGGCAUGCAAAUUAGACCGAUAAAGUAAGUGUUAGAUAUUGUCACACCGUACCUUACAUAUAUUAUUAAUUUAUGUUUGUCCAGUGCAACUUUUCCGAAAAGAAUGCAAAUCGCUAAAGUGAGUGUUUUAUUUAAAAAGGGAGACAGAAAUGAUAUCCAAAAUUAUAGGCCUAUAUCCAUAUUGUCCAUCUUUUCUAAGGGCCUGGAAAAAAUCUUACAUCGCCAAUUUAAUAAUUUUUUCGAGAAGAACAAUAUAAUAUCACCUGCCCAAUUCGGCUUCAGAAAGCUUAAGUCCACCGAAUAUGCACUGUUGGAACAAAAGGAAUUCAUCUUAUCCCAGUUCGAAGAAAGAAGACUUGUGCUUGGCGUCUAUGUGGAUUUUAGCAAAGCAUUUGAUAAUAUUCACCAUUUAACAUUGAUUGAAAAACUUUAUAGCUAUGGCAUUCGAGGUCACUCUUUAGCACUAAUUAAAUCUUACCUAGCAAGCAGACAGCAAUUUGUUCAGAUAGAUAUGCAUUGUUCAAGUAUGAAGCCUAUUUCAAAAGGAGUUCCGCAGGGAAGUGUCUUGGGGCCCCUUCUUUUUAACGCCUAUAUCAAUGAUGUAACUAAUAUUUACCUAAAUGCGAAAUAUGUCCUGUAUGCUGAUGACGCCAGUAUAUUUGUUUCAGGAACAAACUGUACAGAUAUAGAGUAUGAAACGAACCUCAUGCUCUCUAAGCUGAGGUAAUGAACCAAUUAGAAAUAAAUACAAACAAAACCAAAGCUGUGCUCUUUAGGCCCAAAAAUAAGCCAGUGAAUUCAAAUAUUAACAUUAUGUACGGGGAAAAAACGAUAGAAAUAGUUACUAGUAUGAGAACUCUCGGCGUAACGUUUUCGAGUAAUAUGCUCUGGGACGAACACAUUGACGCAGUCACAAUCCAGUUAUCUAGGGUCAUCGGCGUGACGUGGAAUGUAAAUCACUAUUGCCUUUUAAAGUUAAACUUCUCAUUUAUAACUCGCUUUUUUAUUCGUACCUCUAUUAUUGCUUAUUGGUAUGGGGUACAACUACCUUUGUUAAUUUGCAUAAACUACUUGUCUUGCAAAAGAAGUUUGUUCGGCUACUCUUUAAUGUCCCCUACAACUCCCAUACUAUAAACUUAUUUCAGGAAGCCAACAUAAUUUCUGUGUUAAAGUUAUACCAGUACAAGUUAACAACUGCAUUUAGGCGGGAAGUAAAACUGAACUGCUCCUUUCUACGAGAACUUUCUAACCUUGAACUUAAUGACAAAUUUUAUGUUACCCGUCAUAAAGAGAUAUGGCGGGUGGUCACACCCAGAACAAAUUAUCUAAGGGAGAAGCUGUCACACACAAUGCCAAUGCUUCUAAAUAAAUAUAAUAAUCUAGGCGUUGAUAUCACCCAAAUAACGGCCGAACAACUGAGAGACUUGUAUAUGCAUGAUUUUUAAAUUACUGGUUGAGUGUACAUCCUCUCGGCUAGUAUGUAUAUAAAGUGUGUAUAUAUGCUUCUGUAUAUGUGUGUGUGUGUAGGUAUGCAUACGAGUGUGUAUGCAUAUACGGGUAUAUGAAUGCAUGUGUAUGUAUAUAUAUGUGUGUAUAUAAUGUUCAGCGGCGUAUUCUUGCCUCAUUUGUAUCACCACGAGAACCACACAAGCUAUCCUAAGUAUUGUUGGUUUAGUCACCAGUGGCUCUGUAUAGAUAUGGGUGUGCAUGUGUAAAUGCGAGUAUGUGGGUUCAUGAGAGUAUUUAUGAGUAUGUGUAUAUAUAUGUAUGUAUACAAUGUAUGUGUAUAUAUGUAUGUAUGAUGCAUAUGUGCUUGCAUGUAUGCUGUUGCCGAAUAUUCUGUAGAGGGGGCUGCGGGCCUCGUCAAGCUGCCUACUGGAGCAGCUUUUACUUGCAGCCUCCUCCAUCAAGUAGAUGGAAAUAAAGCUAUUCUAUCUGUUC